CAGCAACUGGUGCUAUUUGGAUGGUUGGUGGGACAGUCUCUUGAUGCAGCCCAUGAGUUUUGUCUGUCUCACUCACAGCUACUCAUCUUUGAUGAGCUUGGAGUCACUGGGGCAGAAGGAGAGGAAGAAGUUGUCAUGUCCAGGCAGCACACAGGAGCCCCAGAGCUUGGAGUGAUGAAUAAAGAGCCUUCCCUCACUACUCCUGAAUUAGAUGAACUCCUAGCCUGCCAUACUUCAGUCUUCAUCUCAGGCCUGGGCUCUCCCCCUUACGCCAACAGCAUCACAUCAGGAACCUGAGGAAGCAAGUGAAAGCGCAAGGCCAAACCACAUGAUAAUGAUAAGUGUUAUAGUCUCCGGAUUGGUGGAAGAUACUUCCCUAAGACCCCCACCUAGGCAGCCUGGACCCCUGGGUACCAGCUUCUGUGCUGUACAGAUGUGCCUGUGGUCAACACUGACCUAUAGAUGGGCCACAGAAAGACAGUGACAAGAACAAGUUAUAGAAUAAUCAGAACAUCACCG
rnacentral:lncRNA from 1 species